rnacentral:rRNA from 1 species
GAUGAACGCUGGCUACAGGCUUAACACAUGCAAGUCGAGGGGAAACGACGGGGAAGCUUGCUUCCCCGGGCGUCGACCGGCGCACGGGUGAGUAACGCGUAUCCAACCUGCCUCUGACUGAGGGAUAACCCGUCGAAAGUCGGCCUAAUACCUCAUGGCAUCGUCUGCGGGCAUCCAACGACGAUUAAAGAUUUCAUCGGUCAGAGAUGGGGAUGCGUCUGAUUAGCUUGUUGGCGGGGUAACGGCCCACCAAGGCGACGAUCAGUAGGGGUUCUGAGAGGAAGGUCCCCCACAUUGGAACUGCGACACGGUCCAAACUCCUACGGGAGGCAGCAGUGAGGAAUAUUGAUCAAUGGGCGAGAGCCUGAACCAGCCAAGUAGCGUGCAGGAUGACGGCCCUAUGGGUUGUAAACUGCUUUUAUGCGGGGAUAAAGUGAGGGACGUGUCCUUCAUUGCAGGUACCGCAUGAAUAAGGACCGGCUAAUUCCGUG